UCACAGAUCGCAAAUUCACCUAUUUCCUGAAAUUUAUUUGUAAUCCCCAGAUCCGUGCUCACGACAACUUUGCCGUCAUCUGUGGGCACGUGCGGAUUGGAGCCACAUUUGAGUCACGUGUUCCCAGCCGAGGCCAGACAAGGUGCCACCACGGCCUUCUCCUUCCAGCCCUCGCGGUGUACAGAGAGAGAGUGCACAAGCAGCUGAGAGGGGCAGAGAGAGAGAGAGAAGCAGACUUCUCGUGGAGCA
rnacentral:lncRNA from 1 species